UACGUAGGGUGCAAGCGUUGUCCGGAAUUAUUGGGCGUAAAGAGCUCGUAGGCGGUUUGUCGCGUCGAAUGUGAAAACCCGGGGCUCAACCCCGGGCCUGCAUUCGAUACGGGCAGACUAGAGUUCGGUAGGGGAGUCUGGAAUUCCUGGUGUAGCGGUGAAAUGCGCAGAUAUUAGGAGGAACACCGGUGGCGAAGGCGGGACUCUGGGCCGAUACUGACGCUGAGGAGCGAAAGCGUGGGGAGCAAACAGG
rnacentral:rRNA from 1 species